UUCUUAGCUAGGAAAUCUUGGCCAAGAUUUUGCUAGGAAGUUGAAGGAAAAUAUACUGAAUAUUAGAGUCUAUUAAUUCAAGAAAAUAAAUGGAGGUGUUAUGACUUUGCUAACUUCUGUGGAGUUGUUGUGUCUAUACUCAGUGCCAUGGCACGGAGGAUGAAGACAGCUGUUGAAUAUGCAGCUAUUUGUAGAAUGAACUGAAAUACAGGAAUCACUUUUAUCAGGUAUGAAGAUUAUACCUUGAGCACAAUUUUUUGAAGAUAAUGAAGAUUGUGCUCAUUGAGGUCAUUUGGAACGGAUCUCAGACUGGCUGCCGUAAGCUCUGAACAUGAAACCUGCUACAGAUUGAUAGGGCA
rnacentral:lncRNA from 1 species